UGCAGGGUGGAGAAGUUGGUAUCUCGCCAGAUUCAUAAUCUGGAGGUCGUGGGUUCGAGUCCCAUCCCUGCUA
rnacentral:tRNA from 1 species